ACUCGCAGACCGGGACUGUAUCGCGUUGCUUGUGCAUUUUUCCAGUUACGAAAUAUUUCGUCAUAAAAUAAUAAUUAUAAAAAUCAUAACCUGUAUUGAAAAUGUAUAGUCCACAACAUAAUGUAUCACCAAUAAAAUGAUAAAGAACAUCUAUAGGUAAUCUAUACUUACGAAACAGAAUUGGACUAUACGAUUUCGUCAUGAUUUCAAAUUCGAUCAAAUUACUAGUAUUACAUUUUGGUCUUAUCCUGGCAUUCGGAAAUUGGGGCGUACAGGCCAGUUGGGACGAGUGGUGGACGUACGAUGGAAUAUCAGGUAUCG